GACGAACGCUGGCGGCGUGCUUAACACAUGCAAGUCGAACGAGACGAAUUAGAAGCUUGCUUUUGACGAGUCGAGUGGCAAACGGGUGAGUAACGCGUAGACAACCUGCCCUAGAGUGGGGGACAACAGUUGGAAACGACUGCUAAUACCGCAUAAGCCCACGGUACCGCAUGGUACUGAGGGAAAAGGAUUUAUUCGCUUUAAGAUGGACCCGCGGCGCAUUAGCUAGUUGGUGAGGUAACGGCUCACCAAGGCGACGAUGCGUAGCCGACCUGAGAGGGUGAUCGGCCACAUUGGAACUGAGACACGGUCCAGACUCCUACGGGAGGCAGCAGUGGGGAAUAUUGCACAAUGGGCGAAAGCCUGAUGCAGCAACGCCGCGUGGGUGAUGAAGGUUUUCGGAUCGUAAAGCCCUGUCUUUUGGGACGAUAAUGACGGUACCAAAGGAGGAAGCCACGGCUAACUACGUG
rnacentral:rRNA from 1 species